GGCUCGGAUCUGGUGUGGCUGUGGCAUAGGCCGGCGGCUACAGCUCUCAUUAGACCCCUAGCCUGGGAACCUCCAUGUGCUGUGGGUGCAGCCCUAGAAAAGAAAACAAAGAUUAAAAGUUUAUAGAUGGCUGCUUAUAUUUAGUGAUCGUAUAGGCAGCAUAGGGUUUUGUGCAAAAUUUGGUGAUGACUAGGUGACUAGUGUUGCACUUAGACUUUGAGUUUCAAACUCAUCUGAAAAAUUGGUAAGUAUUAAAUACUAAAUUCAGCACAGAUUAGAAUUGUUAAAUAACAUUUUCUUUUUGAGAUGUGAAUAGCACACUAGAAGGUUAGCUGUAUGUUUGAGCGAAUCAUUGCUAAUACAAAGCUGGUCGUUCUUUAGAAUUUUACCUUGAAAGUCGUCUCAACCAUGGAAGUUAUUCUUGUAUCCAAAACAGCAAAGCAGUGAUUAUAUCUUUGUAGUCUACUAGUUUUUGUAUCUUUACUUGAUGGCCUCUUGGUGCUAAAUCUUCAACUUAGAGUUGGAGGAGGAGAUUUUUAUUUAGAAUUUCUGCUUUUUUUUUUCUUCUGAUUUCCUGACAGCUAGUCACACCCAUCAAACCACUCUUAUUUUUGCACCCAAAAGAUAGCUAUAUUGUAAAACCUUCCUUGGGUAUUAAUUAUAGUUGGCAGCAGAAUUAAAGAUGGCUAUUCAGGUGACAAUUUCAAACCUAGGAAACUAGGAAUAAUUUUGGUAGCAGAGGGAAUGGACCCAAGGAGUUGCAUAGUCACCCAACAUAUUUAAAUGAACCUUGUGGAAUGUUAGGAAGAAAAGGGAUAAGUACAAAAUUAGGAGUCCAUUAAAAUAUUUAAAGCACUUGGUAUAGAUUCAUUGAGAAGCUCUAGUAUUCAAUAGAGUGUUCAAAAGUAAGUUUUUAUUUCAUGGGUAGAAUAUACAUUGAUAAUUUUAAAUGACUUGGAAAGGUGAAUGUGGCCUAGUCUUAAGCCUGGAUUUGUGUUCAUUGAGUAUUUUGGAAACAAGACCAAAAUUAAGAUCAAAGUUGUAUGCAUUUAAGCUAAGUUGAAAGAUGUGCUCUACUCAGAGUUUUAGUACUUCCACCCCCAGAUUGAAGUGAGAUAGAAAAUACUGUUUGUCUAGCUAUUUAAGAUUAGAAAGGACCCAACUGUGUUGUAUGUAUGAAAGGUAAGAUCAGCCAGAGCGCUAGUGCGCUAAGACUUUGUUUUUCAGUCUUAGCUAAUAGACCUUAGGCCACUACCCAUAUUGGCAGCUACUAAACAAGUCAUACCCUUUUGGACCUAAAAAUUUUUCCCCUUUCAUUUAUGUCCCCUUAGAAUAUUAUAGGGGGCCUGUAAUUAGUUUAUUAUUUUCUAACCAAGGAAACAUUUUAAAUCUCUGAGAAGCAAUUAUUUUUCAUAACGUCAGAUUGAGUAACUCACCUUGCUGUUCAGCCACAUCCUUCUGGAAACAAAAGGAAUUUUGGUCCUCUUUCUUCAAGUAAAGCAAAGAGCUUUCUGCUACCACUCGGGCAACCAAGGGUGAAAUGCUUCAAGUAGUACUUGUGGAUAGCAGACCAAUGAAAGGGAGAGGAAGGACCACCAACUCAGAAAGAGGGAGACAUAAAAUCUGCAUAUAUUAAUAUGCUAACUCUUGGGAGACCUCUGAGAAACAGAAUCCUGUUCAAACUCUGGACUAUCCUCAAGUCUGGUAUGAAGAAGAAAUUGAAGAGAUGUUUUUGUUGGGAGUUUGGUUAAAGAAUAUUCACUUGAUAUAUGUAUGUUUUUGUUCUGCCCUACUCUUCACAUUAACAUUUGGACAGGCAUUAAC